AGAGCGAACGCUGGCGGCAUGCUUAACACAUGCAAGUCGCACGGGCAGGGGAAACCCUGUCAGUGGCGGACGGGUGAGUAACGCGUAGGUAUCUAUCCUUGGGUGGGGGAUAACGGUUGGAAACGACUGCUAAUACCGCAUGAUAACUGAGGUUUAAAGGCGCAAGUCGCCUGGGGAGGAGCCUGCGUACGAUUAGCUUGUUGGUGGGGUAAAGGCCUACCAAGGCGACGAUCGUUAGCUGGUCUGAGAGGAUGAUCAGCCACAUUGGGACUGAGACACGGCCCAAACUCCUACGGGAGGCAGCAGUGGGGAAUAUUGGACAAUGGGCGAAAGCCUGAUCCAGCAAUGCCGCGUGUGUGAAGAAGGUCUUCGGAUUGUAAAGCACUUUCGACAGGGACGAUGAUGACGGUACCUGUAGAAGAAGCCCCGGCUAACUUCGCGCCAGCAGCCGC
rnacentral:rRNA from 1 species